UACGUAGGGUGCAAGCGUUGUCCGGAAUUAUUGGGCGUAAAGAGCUCGUAGGCGGUUUGUCGCGUCUGGUGUGAAAAUCCAGGGCUUAACCCUGGACCUGCAUCGGGUACGGGCAGACUAGAGUGCGGUAGGGGAGAUCGGAAUUCCUGGUGUAGCGGUGAAAUGCGCAGAUAUCGGGAGGAACACCAAUGCGAAGGCAGCUCGCUGGGACGUUACUGACGCUGAGACGCGAAAGCGUGGGGAGCAAACAGGGAUUAAGAUACCCUGGU
rnacentral:rRNA from 1 species